CUUGGGGAGGAGGGCGGAGACGGGCCGCUCGAGCGCGGCGGCCGGCGACGCGAGGUUUCCGUCGGAGCAGAGGUAGCAAAGCACGUCCGCGACGCAGAGCUUCCCGACGACGGCCCUCUUCUCCGGUGCCGCCCGGUCGGCGGCCAGCACAGCGAGGUGGGGCUCUCCGCCUCUCCUGAGGGCGAGGAGGGCGUCGCCGACGGCGGUGGCGGAGAGCGGCAGCGAUCUUAGCGCCGGCUUCCCGAUGCAGAGGUCCGACACCUCAUUCGACACCAAGCUCACUGCCAUGCACUGGAGAACCGAGCCUGAACGUGACCCUAACACAACCGCAAAGCAAAUCCUCACGCGCAGGUCUCGAUCUCAGAUGAGUGGAGGAAGAAGA
rnacentral:lncRNA from 1 species